rnacentral:rRNA from 1 species
UACGAAGGGGGCUAGCGUUGUUCGGAAUCACUGGGCGUAAAGCGCACGUAGGCGGAUCGUUAAGUCGGGGGUGAAAUCCCUGGGCUCAACCCAGGAACUGCGUCCGAGACUGGGAGGCUAGAAUCCGGGAGAGGGAUGUGGAAUUCCAGGUGUAGCGGUGAAAUGCGUAGAUAUCUGGAGGAACAUCGGUGGCGAAGGCGGCAUCCUGGACCGGUAUUGACGCUGAGGCGCGAAAGCCAGGGGAGCAAACGGG